AUGCAAGUCGAGCGAACAGACGAGGAGCUUGCUCCUCUGAUGUUAGCGGCGGACGGGUGAGUAACGCGUGGAUAACCUACCUAUAGGACUGGGAUAACUUCGGGAAACCGGAGCUAAUACCGGAUGACAUGUUGAACCGCAUGGUUCAACAGUGAAAGACGGUCUUGCUGUCACUUAUAGAUGGAUCCGCGUCGCAUUAGCUAGUUGGUAAGGUAACGGCUUACCAAGGCAACGAUGCGUAGCCGACCUGAGAGGGUGAUCGGCCACACUGGAACUGAGACA
rnacentral:rRNA from 1 species